rnacentral:rRNA from 1 species
GAUGAACGCUGGCGGCGUGCCUAAUACAUGCAAGUCGAGCGAACAGACGAGGAGCUUACUCCUCUGACGUUAGCGGCGGACGGGUGAGUAACACGUGGAUAACCUACCUAUAAGACUGGGAUAACUUCGGGAAACCGGAGCUAAUACCGGAUAACAUGUUGAACCGCAUGGUUCAACAGUGAAAGACGGUCUUGCUGUCACUUAUAGAUGGAUCCGCGUCGCAUUAGCUAGUUGGUAAGGUAACGGCUUACCAAGGCAACGAUGCGUAGCCGACCUGAGAGGGUGAUCGGCCACACUGGAACUGAGACACGGUCCAGACUCCUACGGGAGGCAGCAGUAGGGAAUCUUCCGCAGUGGGCGAAAGCCUGACGGAGCAACGCCGCGUGAGUGAAGAAGGUCUUCGGAUCGUAAAACUCUGUUAUUAGGGAAGAACAAAUGUGUAAGUAACUAUGCACGUCUUGACGGUACCUAAGCAGAAAGCCACGGCUAACUACGU